rnacentral:rRNA from 1 species
GUGCUUAACACAUGCAAGUCGUGCGCUAUUGGAUUUCGGUCCAGUUGAGCGGCGAACGGGUGCGUAACACGUGGAUAAUCUGCCUUCAGGCUUGGAAUAACCUUCCGAAAGGAGGGCUAAUGCCGAAUAAGCCCACGGGGACCUCGGUCCCUGCGGGAAAAGGUGGCCUCUAUUUAUAAGCUAUCACCUGAAGAUGAGUCCGCGGCCCAUCAGCUAGUUGGCGGGGUAAUGGCCCACCAAGGCUACGACGGGUAGCUGGUCUGAGAGGACGAUCAGCCACACUGGGACUGAGACACGGCCCAGACUCCUACGGGAGGCAGCAGUGGGGAGUCUUGCGCAAUGGGCGAAAGCCUGACGCAGCAACGCCGCGUGAGUGAUGAAGGUCUUUGGAUCGUAAAGCUCUUUCGGCUGGGAAGAAACGCCUCGUGGCUAAUAUCCACGGGGUUUGACGGUACCAGCAGAAGAAGCACCGGCUAACUCUGUGCCAGCAGCCGCGGUAAAUACCAGAGGGUGCAAGCGUUGUUCGGAAUUAUU